UACAGAGGGGGCUAGCGUUAUUCGGAAUUAUUGGGCGUAAAGGGCGCGUAGGCGGCUUUGCGUGUCUUCCGUGAAAUCCCUCGGCUCAACCGAGGACGUGCGGAAGAAACUGCAAGGCUCGAGUCCGGAAGAGGGGGGCGGAAUUCCCAGUGUAGCGGCGGAAAUGCGUAGAUAUUGGGAGGAACACCAGUGGCGAAGGCGGUCCCCAUGGGCCGGAACUGGAACGCCUGAGGCGCGAAAGCGUGGGUAGCAAACGGG
rnacentral:rRNA from 1 species